rnacentral:rRNA from 1 species
UCGAUGAAGAACGCAGCGAAAUGCGAUACGUAAUGUGAAUUGCAGAAUUCAGUGAAUCAUCGAAUCUUUGAACGCAUCUUGCGCCCCUUGGUAUUCCGAGGGGCACACCCGUUUGAGUGUCGUGAAAUUCUCAAACCUUCUUGGUUUCUCGAUCAAGAUGGCUUUGGACUUUGGAGGCAUUUUGCUGGCUUUGCGAAAAGCCAGCUCCUCUUAAAUACAUUAGUGGGGUCCCCCUUUGCCGAUCCCCCAGGCGUGAUAAGAUGUUUCUACGUCUCGGGAUUUGCUCUGUUCCUUGGGAACCCGCUUAUAACCGUCUCAUGGGAGACAUCGUUCGAGCAUGCUCGACCCACGAACCUUGACCUCAAAUCGGGUGAGACUACCCGCUGAACUUAA